GAUGAAGAACGUAGCGAAAUGCGAUACGUAAUGUGAAUUGCAGAAUUCAGUGAAUCAUCGAAUCUUUGAACGCAUAUUGCGCUCUCUGGUAUUCCGGAGAGCAUGCUUGUUUGAGUAUCAGUAAACACCUCAACUUCCAUAUCUUUUUUGAAAUGGGAGUUGGACUUGAGUGAUCCCAACGCUUUUCCUCACCGAAAAGUGGCGGGUUACUUGAAAUGCAGGUGCAGCUGGACUUUUCUCUGAGCUAUAAGCAUAUCUAUUUAGUCUGCCUAAAAAACAGAUGAUUACCUUUGCUGCAGCUAACAUAAAGGAGAUUAGUUCUUGUGCUGACUGAUGCAGGAUUCACAAAGACAGGCUUCGGCCGACUUUGUAAACUCGAUCUCAAAUCAAGUAAGACUACCCGCUGAACUUAAGCAUAUCAAUAAGCGGAGGA
rnacentral:misc_RNA from 1 species